rnacentral:rRNA from 1 species
CACGGGGAUUGCGAGCGUUGUCCGGAAUUACUAGGCGUAAAGGGCAGGCAGGCGGAUGCAUAAGUUUAUAGUUUAAGGCGUCGGCUUAACCGGCGUAGGGCGGUAGAUACUGUGGAUCUGGAAUGCGGUUGGGGAAGACAGAAUUCCUGGUGUAGCGGUGGAAUGCGCAGAGAUCAGGAGGAAUACCGAAGGCGAAGGCAGUCUUCCAAGCCGUUAUUGACGCUCAACUGCGAAGGUGUGGGUAUCAAACAGGAUUAGAUACCCCUGUAGU